rnacentral:rRNA from 1 species
GAUGAGCGCUGGCGGCGUGCCUAAUACAUGCAAGUCGAGCGAACGGACGAGAAGCUUGCUUCUCUGAUGUUAGCGGCGGACGGGUGAGUAACACGUGGAUAACCUACCUAUAAGACUGGGAUAACUUCGGGAAACCGUAGCUAAUACCGGAUAAUAUUUUGAACCGCAUGGUUCAAAAGUGAAAGACGGUCUUGCUGUCACUUAUAGAUGGAUCCGCGCUGCAUUAGCUAGUUGGUAAGGUAACGGCUUACCAAGGCAACGAUGCAUAGCCGACCUGAGAGGGUGAGCGGCCACACUGGAACUGAGACACGGUCCAGACUCCUACGGGAGGCAGCAGUAGGGAAUCUUCCGCAAAGGGCGAAAGCCUGACGGAGCAACGCCGCGUGAGUGAUGAAGGUCUUCGGAUCGUAAAACUCUGUUAUUAGGGAAGAACAUAUGUGUAAGUAACUGUGCACAUCUUGACGGUACCUAAUCAGAAAGCCACGGCUAACUACGUG